UAAGCAGUGAAGCCCAUGAGCCACUAGAAGCCACAUGUUCUGCCAUGUGGAGAAGAAUGAGAGAGUACAUCCUCAAAUUGAGGUGUGGCAUGAUGAUUUGGCUGCCCAGAGGAGAACCUGUCUUUCCCAUCUAAAGUGGGAGGUCAAGCCAAGUAGAGGAAUCACAUGCUGCACUUAGAAUUACGUUAAAAGAAGGUGUUUUAAAACUUAUUUGGGAAGGUUUCUGGGAAAAUUGCUUCAGAAAUUUCAUCAUUUUCAAAAAGUCUUCCUGAACCAGUCAAUCAAAAGCCAUGGCACAGCCUUCAUCUGUACAUCUAAUGUAGUUUGUUUUGUUUUUUGUUUUUUUGUGAUUUUUUUCUGUGCGUGUUUUUUGUUUUGUUUUGUUUUGUUUUUUUGAGAUGGAGUCUCCCUCUGACACCCAGGCUAGGAUACAGUGGUGUGAUCUCGGCUCACUGCAACCUCUGCCGCCCAGGUUCAAGCAAUUCUCCUGCCUCAGACUCCCGAGUAGCUGGGACUACAGGCGUGCACCACCACGCCUGGCUAAUUUUUGUAUUUUUAGUAGAGACGGGGUUUCACCGUGUUGGCCAGGCUGGUCUCAAACUCUUGACCUCAGGUAAUCCACCUGCCUCAACCUUCCAAAGUGCUAGGAAUACAGGGGUGAGCCACCACGCCUGGCCUCUAAUAUAGUUUGUAUCACAAUCUAUCAGUAGAUUAUUUCCCUCCAACUACGGUUUAUGCAUCUAGAAAACAGAUACAUAAGCUUUCCUAUUCAUUUUUGUAUUAUUGACAGUACUUAUCUUGUGGCUUUGUAAAGAAGAAACUCAACCCAAUAAAUAUUUGUCAAACUGAAAUGUGCUGAAUUUAGUCCAAUUUCUUUAUUUUACAUUUGGAAAAGCCAAGGACCCAGAAAUAUGA
rnacentral:lncRNA from 1 species